GCUCAGGAUGAACGCUGGCGGCGUGCUUAACACAUGCAAGUCGAACGAUGAAGCCCAGCUUGCUGGGUGGAUUAGUGGCGAACGGGUGAGUAACACGUGAGUAACCUGCCCUUAACUCUGGGAUAAGCCUGGGAAACUAGGUCUAAUACCGGAUAGGAGCGCCUACCGCAUGGUGGGUGUUGGAAAGAUUUAUCGGUUUUGGAUGGACUCGCGGCCUAUCAGCUUGUUGGUGAGGUAAUGGCUCACCAAGGCGACGACGGGUAGCCGGCCUGAGAGGGUGACCGGCCACACUGGGACUGAGACACGGCCCAGACUCCUACGGGAGGCAGCAGUGGGGAAUAUUGCACAAUGGGCGAAAGCCUGAUGCAGCGACGCCGCGUGAGGGAUGACGGCCUUCGGGUUGUAAACCUCUUUCAGUAGGGAAGAAGCGAAAGUGACGGUACCUGCAGAAGAAGCACCGGCUAACUACGUGCCAGCAGCCGCGGUAAUACGUAGGGUGCGAGCGUUAUCCGGAAUUAUUGGGCGUAAAGAGCUCGUAGGCGGUUUGUCGCGUCUGUCGUGAAAGUCCGGGGCUUAACCCCGGAUCUGCGGUGGGUACGGGCAGACUAGAGUGCAGUAGGGGAGACUGGAAUUCCUGGUGUAGCGGUGGAAUGCGCAGAUAUCAGGAGGAACACCGAUGGCGAAGGCAGGUCUCUGGGCUGUAACUGACG
rnacentral:rRNA from 1 species